UACGUAGGGUGCGAGCGUUAAUCGGAAUUACUGGGCGUAAAGCGUGCGCAGGCGGUUGUGCAAGACAGAUGUGAAAUCCCCGGGCUUAACCUGGGAACUGCAUUUGUGACUGCACAGCUAGAGUACGGCAGAGGGGGAUGGAAUUCCGGCGUGUAGCAGUGAAAUGCGUAGAUAUGCGGAGGAACACCGAUGGCGAAGGCAGUCCCCUGGGCCUGUACUGACGCUCAUGCACGAAAGCGUGGGGAGCAAACAGG
rnacentral:rRNA from 1 species